rnacentral:rRNA from 1 species
UGGGGAAUCUUGCGCAAUGGCCUAACGGCUGACGCAGCGACGCCGCGUGUGGGAGGACGCCUUUCGGGGUGUAAACCACUGUUGCCCGGGACGAACUUCUGGUUGCGACCAGACUGACGGUACCGGGUGAGGAAGCACCGGCUAACUCCGUGCCAGCAGCCGCGGUAAUACGGAGGGUGCGAGCGUUGUCCGGAAUCAUUGGGCGUAAAGGGCGCGUAGGUGGCCCGGUGAGUCUUUGGGUGAAAGCGCGGGGCUCAACCCUGCGUCGGCCAGGGAUACUGCCGCGGCUGGAGCACUGUAGAGGCAGGCGGAAUUCCGGGUGUAGCGGUGGAAUGCGUAGAGAUCCGGAAGAACACCGGUGGCGAAGGCGGCCUGCUGGGCAGUGGCUGACACUGAGGCGCGACAGCGUGGGGAGCAAACAGGAUUAGAUACCCUGGUAGUCCACGCCGUAAACGAUGGGCACUAGGCGCUUGGGGGAGCGACCCCUCGAGGGCCGGCGCUAACGCAUUAAGUGCCCCGCCUGGGGA